rnacentral:rRNA from 1 species
AUUGAACGCUGGCGGCGUGCUUAACACAUGCAAGUCGUGCGGUAACAGGCGUAGCAAUACGUGCUGACGAGCGGCGAACGGGUGCGUAAUACAUGGGAAUCUGCCCUUUAGUGGGGAAUAACCCGGCGAAAGCCGGGCUAAUGCCGCAUAAGAUCUUCGGAUGAAAGCGGAGGAUCGUAAGACCUCGCGCUGAUGGAUGAGCCCAUGUCGGAUUAGCUAGUUGGUGAGGUAACGCUCACCAAGGCGACGAUCCGUAGCUGGUCUGAGAGGACGGCCAGCCACACUGGGACUGAGACACGGCCCAGACUCCUACGGGAGGCAGCAGUGGGAAUAUUGGACAAUGGCGCAAGCCUGAUCCAGCCAUGCCGCGUGAGUGACGAAGGUCUUCGGAUU